AUUGAACGCUGGCGGCAGGCCUAACACAUGCAAGUCGAACGAGUGGCGGACGGGUGAGUAAUGCGUGGGAAACUGGCUGAUGGAGGGGGGUAACUACUGGAAAAGGUAGCUAAUACCGCAUACCCUCGGAUGUGCCCAGAUGGGAUUGGCUGGUGGGUGGGGUAAAGGCUCGCCUGGGCGACGAUCCCUAGCUGGUCUGAGAGGAUAACCGGCAACACUGGAAUGGGGACACGGCCCAGACUCCUACGGGAGGAAGAGGUGGGAAUUAUUGGCCAAUGGGCGAAAGCCGGAUCCAGACAUGCCGCGUGUGUAAAGCAGGUCUUCGGUUUGUAAAGCACUUUAAGUUGGGAGGCGUUACCAGCAGAAUAAGCACCGGCUAACUUCGUGCCAGCAGCCGCGGUAAUAC
rnacentral:rRNA from 1 species